UCGGGAAUAUUGCGCAAUGGAGGAAACUCUGACGCAGUGACGCCGCGUAUAGGAAGAAGGUUUUCGGAUUAGUAAACUAUUGUCGUUAGGGAAGAGAAAGGACAGUACCUAAGGAGGAAGCUCCGGCUAACUACGUGCC
rnacentral:rRNA from 1 species